rnacentral:rRNA from 1 species
AGAGUUUGAUCCUGGCUCAGGAUGAACGCUAGCUACAGGCUUAACACAUGCAAGUCGAGGGGCAGCAUGGUCUUAGCUUGCUAAGGCUGAUGGCGACCGGCGCACGGGUGAGUAACACGUAUCCAACCUGCCGUCUACUCUUGGCCAGCCUUCUGAAAGGAAGAUUAAUCCAGGAUGGGAUCAUGAGUUCACAUGUCCGCAUGAUUAAAGGUAUUUUCCGGUAGACGAUGGGGAUGCGUUCCAUUAGAUAGGUAGGCGGGGUAACGGCCACCUAGUCAACGAUGGAUAGGGGUUCUGAGAGGAAGGUCCCCCANAUUGGAACUGAGACACGGUCCAAACUCCUACGGGAGGCA